rnacentral:lncRNA from 1 species
CUUUUGUUGCCAACACGAUGGAAAUCCUACUCUCGCUUAGAAACGCGCGAGGAGUUGACCAAGAACAUAGUCUGUUCACAAAAAUGUCUAUGGCUCUGCGUCGUUACCUCUUCGGUGGAGCGAAUCACAUCACUGCCCAUCAUACUCACCACCUUCUGAAACCCAAAAUCGGAUAUUGGGCGCCAUUUAAUCACAAUGCUUUGGUCCCCCCACUUGUUCUUCAUCAACGUUUCCACUCCUCCAUGGAUCUUCCGCCUCUUCUUCUUCUUCUUCUUCUGCGGCAAACCCAAAUUCAGUUUCACUAUUAUUAUGUGGUGGCACUUGCAUUUACAAUGGUGCCCGGAUGGAUGAUUGGAUUAUCAGACUCGCCCAGUUUGCAGUAGACCAGUACAAUCACAAAGAGAGUAAGCAUCUGUGAGGGUGGUGGGGGCAAGCCGCACUAUGGUUUCUAGCAUGUUGUACCAUAUUACACUGGAGGCCAUGAAUGCUAUAGGCCUAAGAUUUACCAUGCAAUUAUUUGGAUUGCAAUAUUAAAGAAUUUCAUGGUGCUGCUUGUGUGGAAGCCCCUUGUCUACUCUUGGGGUUAAGUCUGGUGAUUUGAAGUUGCAUGAAGCUGCUAUGUAUUACAAGAAUCAAGCAAAACAAGAUCGCUUCCUCACUUGAAUUUAUGAAGCCUACAUUUUUUGUGCAUUUGUGUCUUCAUUGGCUAUCUAACCUUCAAAUAUCUUUGAUACACCUGGCGCAUUGCACUCAUAUACAAGGUGAGCUAGCGAGACAAGCUUGUAUUAGUUUCUAACGUAACAGCCUUCCUCCUAACAUUCAAAUACACACAAAUGAAUAGUGAAGUCUGGAUGAGUUAUUUUGUUACUGUAAUUAUGACCUGUGAUGUGAUGAGUUAGAUUGUGAAGCCUGCCUACUGGUUAUUUUUCUUGUACAUUAGGAUAGAGAGCUGUCCACUUUCACACCCCCCUCUCACCUAUUGUGUCAGCAGCCACCAUUCUGAAGGGAUUGGAAGCUCAAACUCUAAUAUGGAGAGCCUUGGAGCGAGAAACGAGCUCCAUAUGUUUUAUCACGAUAUCAAGGAAGAUGUGUAAAUAGGUACCUUGGUUAGGAAUUUGAUGAUGGGAGGCUUGGUUGGAUAGUCGUCAGGUAACUCGAUGGAAAGAAAGAAGACGCCUUCUUCAUAAGGAGAAUCUGGAGGCCCCAUGAUAACACCUUGCCAUUUGAAAGGGUCUUCAAGCUUUACUGGUCCAUAGCUGCAGUGAGUUGGGAAAUCUGCUUUUAUGAAUCUCUCCCUUUGGUAUAUCCAGUGGCUUGCAAGUUCUCUGUCUUUCAUGAGAGAAGUAAUUUAGUAUGGAUCAAUCAUAGGAUCUCGUCUAUAUAGCGAUGAGACCGUGCUUAGGGGAUUGUGCGUAAUUCGAACGCAACUCCCCUGUAGAGCUUGUUCAUCAAACAGUGGAUUAUUCAUCCUAAAGUCAUCAUUUCAUUGAAAGAAAUUUAAUGCAAUAAGUGAAUGUUCGUACCGAUCUGCCAUGUUAUGUGUGUGCCUGAAAGAUGCAGCAGAAGCCUGAACAGAGCGGACAAUGCUUUGAAACCACAAGAAUUAGAUUCUAUGGAGGAAAAAGCAAACCAGAGGGAAUGAACAAAUAUUGGAAGUGAAAAUAUUCAAGGUCUUCGAGCAAGUCUAGGACCUCCUUAACUUGUAGACCGAGCUAUAUGUCCUUUUUAUGUAUUGGUUUUCUUUCAGCUUUCCAUGUAAAGGAUUAGUAGGUUCCUAUACGUUGCUUGACUUCAUCUGCGUUAAUCUUACGAAUGUCUUGUUUCAUGGAAGUUAUCCGAGGGAACUUUCAUAUGCAAUUUCGUUGGAAAAGAAGACUUUGUUGACCAAUGAAGGUUUUGCAAUGACUCGUAAAAUAAUGGUCAUUGCCUGAUUGGUAAUCUUACGUACUGAAAAGUACUGAAGAGUGGACGUGUUCAAAGGCUACUUUUUUUGGUGGGAUAAAUUACGGGGGUUUCACUUGGACCUCAACAUAUUUCCACAAUCUAAACUCCACCUCUCCCAUACGGAAAUGAAAGAAAAGCGGUUGAUGUUGUUGAGGUGAUGAUGCGGUGUGGCCGGUCCGAUCAGAAGACCAUGGAGUAUGGCCACAGGAAAAACAUUUGAACGUGGGUGAAUCACCAGUAGACAUUCUCGAAUGAAUUGGGGCAAAAGAAUAAAUCAAUGAGAACUUUAGUGCGAAAUUUAUAAAUUGCUCAACUCUAGUUCCAAACUUAUAAUGGUUCGUCUAUUGUAUAUUAAUGCAGCAACGAUGCAUCUAGACUAGUUUAAUUC